UUUCAGGACACAUUUCCACAUUUCUAAAGAAAGUGACAAUAAAACAUCAACAGUUCUUGGAUGUUGAAACAUAGCCAAAAGUGAGACCAUCAGGAGAAGGGCCUAAGAAGAACUAGAUUAACAGGAAGAAGGUGAAAAAGUGAUAAUAAAUCUUUUAAUCCUGCCACCUACACAGGCGAUUCUCCACCUACCAGAGGUGAGAGCAUAUCUUACUAGGUCACUAACAGCAGCAAAGUCUCUGAAGAAGGUUUUCCAGUUAAUAUGUGGACCAAAAAAGCACAACUGGACCAAUAUAUAAAAUAAACACACUCCUUUACUACAACAAUUCGGGAAACUAAAUUUUCAAUGAUGGAAGGAAUGGUUAUAUGGUUAAAACCAAAUGCUAAUGUUGGAUACUUUUAUUAAUUCAAUAAAUGAAUAUUCAUUUAUUUAUUUACUGAG
ensembl:lncRNA novel transcript